CAGCAGCAGCCGCGGUAAUACGAAGGGUGCAAGCGUUAAUCGGAAUUACUGGGCGUAAAGCGUGCGUAGGCGGUGAGUUAAGUCUGCUGUGAAAUCCCCGGGCUCAACCUGGGAAUGGCAGUGGAUACUGGCUCGCUAGAGUGUGUCAGAGGAUGGUGGAAUUCCCGGUGUAGCGGUGAAAUGCGUAGAGAUCGGGAGGAACAUCAGUGGCGAAGGCGGCCAUCUGGGACAACACUGACGCUGAGGCACGAAAGCGUGGGGAGCAAACAGGAUUAGAUACCCCCGUAGUCCCUGUCUCUUAUAC
rnacentral:rRNA from 1 species